UGGGGAAUAUUGGACAAUGGGCGAAAGCCUGAUCCAGCAAUGCCGCGUGUGUGAAGAAGGCCUUCGGGUUGUAAAGCACUUUCAGUAGGGAGGAAAUGCCUGAAAUUAAUACUUUUAGGAGCUGACGUUACCUACAGAAGAAGCACUGGCUAACUCUGUGCCAGCAGCCGCGGUAAUACAGAGAGUGCAAGCGUUAAUCGGAAUUACUGGGCGUAAAGAGCACGUAGGCGGAUUAUUAAGUUGGAUGUGAAAGCCCUGGGCUCAACCUGGGAACUGCAUCCAAAACUGGUAGUCUAGAGUAUGGUAGAGGGAAGUGGAAUUUCUGGUGUAGCGGUGAAAUGCGUAGAUAUCAGAAAGAACACCAGUGGCGAAGGCGGCUUCCUGGACCAAUACUGACGCUGAGGUGCGAAAGCGUGGGGAGCAAACAGG
rnacentral:rRNA from 1 species